rnacentral:rRNA from 1 species
CAGCCGCCGCGGGAAUACGAAGGGGGCUAGCGUUGUUCGGAUUUACUGGGCGUAAAGCGAACGCAGGCGGACUGUUAAGUAGGAAGUGAAAGGUCGGAGCUCAACUCCAACAUCGCUUCCUAUACUGGCAGUCUUGAGUAGCGGAGAGGAAGGGGGAACGACACGUGUAGCGGUGAAAUGCGUUGAUAUGUGUCGGAACACCCAUGGCGAAAGCACCCUUCUGGACCCAAACUGACGCUCAGGUUCGAAAGCCAAGGUAGCGAACAGGAUUAGAUACCCGGGUAGUCCCUGUCUCUUAUAC